rnacentral:rRNA from 1 species
GACGAACGCUGGCGGCGUGCCUAAUACAUGCCAGUAGAACGCUGAAGGAGGAGCUUGCUCUUCAGGAUGAGUUGCGAACGGGUGAGUAACGCGUAGGUAACCUGCCUGGUAGCGGGGGAUAACUAUUGGAAACGAUAGCUAAUACCGCAUAAGAGUAGAUGUUGCAUGACAUUUACUUAAAAGGUGCAAUUGCAUCACUACCAGAUGGACCUGCGUUGUAUUAGCUAGUUGGUGGGGUAACGGCUUACCAAGGCGACGAUACAUAGCCGACCUGAGAGGGUGAUCGGCCACACUGGGACUGAGACACGGCCCAGACUCCUACGGGAGGCAGCAGUAGGGAAUCUUCGGCAAUGGACGGAAGUCUGACCGAGCAACGCCGCGUGAGUGAAGAAGGGUUUCGGAUCGUAAAGCUCUGUUGUAAGAGAAGAACGAGUGUGAGAGUGGAAAGUUCACACUGUGACGGUAUCUUACCAGAAAGGGACGGCUAACUACGUG